GACGAACGCUGGCGGCGUGCCUAACACAUGCAAGUCGUGCGGUCUCGCCUUAAGCGAAAGGCCUUCGGGCUUUGAAGCGAAAGGCGAGAUAGCGGCGGACGGGUGAGUAACGCGUGGCUUAUCUGUCCCAGGGAGGGGGAUAACGUCUGGAAACGGGCGCUAAUACCCCAUAUGCCUAAAAGGUGAAAAGGAGAGAUCCGCCCUGGGGUGAGGCCGCGUCCUAUCAGCUCGUUGGUGAGGUAACGGCCCACCAAGGCUAUGACGGGUAGCCGGCCUGAGAGGGCGGCUGGCCACACUGGGAUUGAGAUACGGCCCAGACUCCUACGGGAGGCAGCAGUGGGGAAUAUUGGGCAAUGGGGGAAACCCUGACCCAGCGACGCCGCGUGGAGGAAGGAGCCCUUCGGGGUGUAAACUCCUGUUGUAAGGGAAGAAGAUCUGACGGUACCUUACGAGGAAGCCCCGGCAAACUACGUG
rnacentral:rRNA from 1 species